GAUGAACGCUGGCGGCGUGCCUAAUACAUGCAAGUCGAGCGAACGGACGAGAAGCUUGCUUCUCUGAUGUUAGCGGCGGACGGGUGAGUAACACGUGGAUAACCUACCUAUAAGACUGGGAUAAUUUCGGGAAACCGGAGCUACUACCGGAGGAUAUUUUGAACCGCAUGGUUCACAAGUGAAAGACGGUCUUACUGUCACUUAGAGAUGGAUCCGUGCUGCAUUAGCUAGUAGGUAAGGGAACGGCGUACCAAGGCAACGACGGAUAACCGACCCGAGAGGGUAACGGUCCACUACUGAACUGCGUUACUCGCAAUAGGCCUACGGGGGGCAGGAGUAGGAAAUCUCCCGCAGUGGGCGACAGCAUGACAGAGCAACGGCGCAUGAGUGAUGUAGGUCUGCUGAUCGUAAACCGAUGUUAUGAGGGAAGACGAUAUGUGUAAGUAACUGUGCACAUCUUGACGGUCCCAAAGCAGAAAGCCACGGCUAACUACAU
rnacentral:rRNA from 1 species